AUUGAACGCUGGCGGCAGGCCUAACACAUGCAAGUCGAGCGGAUGAAGGGAGCUUGCUCCUUGAUUCAGCGGCUGACGGGUGAGUAAUGCCUAGGAAUCUGCCUGGUAGUGGGGGAUAACGUCCGGAAACGGGCGCUAAUACCGCAUACGUCCUGAGGGAGAAAGUGGGGGAUCUUCGGACCUCACGCUAUCAGAUGAGCCUAGGUCGGAUUAGCUAGUUGGUGGGGUAAAGGCCUACCAAGGCGACGAUCCGUAACUGGUCUGAGAGGAUGAUCAGGCACACUGGAACUGAGAAAAGGUCCAGACUCCUACGGGAGGCAGCAGUGGGGAAUAUUGGACAAAGGGCGAAAGCCUGAUCCAGCCAUGCCGCGUGUGUGAAGAAGGUCUUCGGAUUGUAAAGCACUUUAAGUGGGGAGGAAGGGCAGUAAGUUAAUACCUUGCUGUUUUGACGUUACCAACAGAAUAAGCACCGGCUAACUUCGUG
rnacentral:rRNA from 1 species